GGUGAAAAGUACCCCUGACGGGGAGUGAAAAAGAACCUGAAACCUUGUGUUUACAAGCACCGAAAGCUCAUCAAAGAGCGAUCGGGUACCUUUUGUAGAAUGGUCCGGCGAGUGAAUGUAACCGGCGAGGUUAAGCACUUAAGGUGUGAAGCCGCAGCGAGAGCAAGUCUGAAUAGGGCGUAUGAAGUCGGUUGUAUUCGACCCGAAACCGGGUGACCUACCCAUGGUCAGGUUGAAGUAAAGGUAAAACUUUAUGGAGGACCGAACCGACUCCCGUUGAAAUGGUAGCGGAUGAACUGUGGGUAGCGGAGAAAUUCCAAUCGAACCCGGAGAUAGCUGGUUCUCUCCGAAAUAGCUUUAGGGCUAGCCUUGAAAUAGAUUACCGGAGGUAAAGCACUGAAUUGGCUAGGGGCCGAGAGGUUACUGAACCUUAUCAAACUAAGAAUGCCGGAUAAUCGUUUUUCAGGAGUCAGACAGUGGGAGAUAAGUUUCAUUGUCAAAAGGGAAACAGCCCAGACCCACAGCUAAGGUCCCCAAGUAUAGUUAAGUGGAAAAGGAUGUGGAAUUGCAUAGACAACCAGGAUGUUGGCUUAGAAGCAGCCACUCAUUAAAAGAGUGCGUAAUAGCUCACUGGUCGAGUGACUCUGCGCGGAAAAUAUAACGGGGCUAAGCAUGAAACCGAAGCUUGGGCUUGUACUUAGGUACAGGGGUAGGGGAGCGUCGAGUAUGGGGUGAAGUCAGAGCGGAAGCACUGGUGGACUGUACUGGAGUGAGAAUGCCGGAAUGAGUAGCGAGAAUUAUGUGGGAAUCAUAAUGGCCGAAAAUCUAAGGUUUCUUGGGGAAGGUUCGUCCGCCCAAGGUAAGUCGGGAGCUAAGCUCAGGCCGAGAGGCGUAGGCGAUGCACAUACGGUAGAAAUUCCGUAACCACCGAAACUUAAACAGAGGGACACUUCGAAAUAGCGGAACCCGGGCGUUGGUUGACCCGGGCGAAAGGGAGCGAAAUUAGAGUAGCGAAGUCCGCGAUGUUCGGAGGCGAGAAAAGCUCUGAGGUAUGCUAAGGUGCCCGUACCGCAAACCGACACAGGUAGAUGAGGAGAGAAUCCUAAGGCCAACGGGAGAAGGGUUGUUAAGGAACUCGGCAAAUUGACCCCGUAACUUCGGAAGAAGGGGAGCCCCCUACGGGGGGUCGCAGAGAAAUGGCCCAAGCAACUGUUUACCAAAAACACAGGUCUAUGCUAAAUCGAAAGAUGACGUAUAUGGGCUGACGCCUGCCCGGUGCCGGAAGGUUAAGAGGAGAUGUCAGCGCAAGCGAAGCAUUGAAUUGAAGCCCCGGUAAACGGCGGCCGUAACUAUAACGGUCCUAAGGUAGCGAAAUUCCUUGUCAGGU
rnacentral:rRNA from 1 species